CAAUAGCGUAUAUUAAAGUUGUUGUGGUUAAAAAGCUCGUAGUUGGAUUUCUGCUGAGGACGACCGGUCCGCCCUCCGGGUGAGCAUCUGGUUCGGCCUUGGCAUCUUCUUGGUGAACGUAUCUGCACUUGACUGUGUGGUGCGGUACCCAGGACUUUUACUUUGAGGAAAUUAGAGUGUUUCAAGCAGGCAUACGCCUUGAAUACAUUAGCAUGGAAUAAUAAGAUAGGACCUUGGUUCUAUUUUGUUGGUUCUAGAGCUUAGGUAAUGAUUAAUAGGGACACUUGGGGCCAUUCGUAUUAACGCGUCAGAGGUGAAAUUCUUGGAUUGCGUUACGACGAACUACUGCGAAAGCAUUUGGCAAGGAUGUUUUUCAUUGAUCAAGAACGAAAGUGUGGGGGAUCGAAGACGAUUAGAU
rnacentral:rRNA from 1 species